rnacentral:rRNA from 1 species
GUCCACGCCCUAAACGAUGCACAUUUGGUGUGGGCCAUUCAUUUGGUCCGUGCCGGAGCUAACGCGUUAAAUGUGCCGCCUGGGGAGUACGGUCGCAAGGCUGAAAACUCAAAAGGAAUUGACGGGGGCCCGCACAAGCGGUGGAGCAUGUGGUUCAAUUCGACGCAAACGCGAAAGAACCUUACCUGGGCUCGAACGGCUGUGGACCAGCGGUGGAAACAUCGCCUUCCGCAAGGGACUGCAGUCGAGGUGCUGCAUGGCUGUCGU